rnacentral:rRNA from 1 species
UACGAAGGGGACUAGCGUUGUUCGGAAUUACUGGGCGUAAAGCGCACGUAGGCGGAUUUGUAAGUCAGGGGUGAAAUCCCGGGGCUCAACCUCGGAACUGCCUUUGAUACUGCAAAUCUCGAGUCCGAUAGAGGUGGGUGGAAUUCCUAGUGUAGAGGUGAAAUUCGUAGAUAUUAGGAAGAACACCGGUGGCGAAGGCGGCCCACUGGAUCGGUACUGACGCUGAGGUGCGAAAGCGUGGGGAGCAAACCGG